GACGAACGCUGGCGGCGUGCCUAAUACAUGCAAGUCGAACGCACAGUUUAUACCGUAGCUUGCUACACCAUAGACUGUGAGUUGCGAACGGGUGAGUAACGCGUAGGUAACCUGCCUGGUAGCGGGGGAUAACUAUUGGAAACGAUAGCUAAUACCGCAUAAUAUUAAUUAUUGCAUGAUAAUUGAUUGAAAGAUGCAACUGCAUCACUACCAGAUGGACCUGCGUUGUAUUAGCUAGUAGGUGAGGUAACGGCUCACCUAGGCGACGAUACAUAGCCGACCUGAGAAGGUGAUCGGCCACACUGGGACUGAGACACGGCCCAGACUCCCACGGGAGGCAGCAGGAGGGAAUCUUUGGCAAUGGACGAAAGUCUGAACGAGCAACGCCGCGUGAGUGAAGAAGGGUUUCGGAUCGUAAAGCUCUGUUGUAAGAGAAGAACGGGUGUGAGAGUGGAAAGUUCACACUGUGACGGUAUCUUAACAGAAAGGGACGGCUAACUACGUG
rnacentral:rRNA from 1 species